ensembl:rRNA 5S_rRNA 5S ribosomal RNA
AUUAAUAAAUCAUAUCACCCUGUAGCCCAAGACUGGUUGCCCACUGAAGCUAAGCAGGGUUGAGCCUGGUCAGUACCUGGAUGGGAGACCUCCUUGGAAAACUAGGUUGCUGUUGGAA